CCUACGGGGUGCAGCAGUAGGGAAUCUUCCACAAUGGGCGAAAGCCUGAUGGAGCAACGCCGCGUGGGUGAAGAAGGUCUUCGGAUCGUAAAACCCUGUUGUUAGAGAAGAAAGUGCGUGAGAGUAACUGUUCACGUGUCGACGGUAUCUAACCAGAAAGCCACGGCUAACUACGUGCCAGCAGCCGCGGUAAUACGUAGGUGGCAAGCGUUAUCCGGAUUGAUUGGGCGUAAAGGGAACGCAGGCGGUCUUUUAAGUCUGAGGUGAAAGCCUUCGGCUUAACCGGAGUAGUGCAUUGGAAACUGUGAGCCUUGAGUGCAGCAGCGGCGAGUGGACCUCCAUGUGUAGCGGUGUAAUGCGUAGAUCUAUGGAAGAACCCCAGUGGCGAACGCGGCUCUCUGGUCUGUAUCUGACGCUGAGGUUCGAACGCGUGGGUAGCAAACAGGAUUAGAUACCCGAGUAGUC
rnacentral:rRNA from 1 species